rnacentral:rRNA from 1 species
GGUGUGACUGCGUACCUUUUGUAUAAUGGGUCAGCGACUUAUAUUCUGUAGCAAGGUUAACCGUAUAGGGGAGCCGCAGGGAAACCGAGUCUUAACUGGGCGUUAAGUUGCAGGGUAUAGACCCGAAACCCGGUGAUCUAGCCAUGGGCAGGUUGAAGGUUGGGUAACACUAACUGGAGGACCGAACCGACUAAUGUUGAAAAAUUAGCGGAUGACUUGUGGCUGGGGGUGAAAGGCCAAUCAAACCGGGAGAUAGCUGGUUCUCCCCGAAAGCUAUUUAGGUAGCGCCUCGUGAAUUCAUCUUCGGGGGUAGAGCACUGUUUCGGCUAGGGGGUCAUCCCGACUUACCAACCCGAUGCAAACUACGAAUACCGAAGAAUGUUAUCACGGGAGACACACGGCGGGUGCUAACGUCCGUCGUGAAGAGGGAAACAACCCAGACCGCCAGCUAAGGUCCCAAAGUCACAGUUAAGUGGGAAACGAUGUGGGAAGGCACAGACAGCCAGGAUGUUGGCUUAGAAGCAGCCAUCAUUUAAAGAAAGCGUAAUAGCUCACUGGUCGAGUCGGCCUGCGCGGAAGAUGUAACGGGGCUAAACUGUGCACCGAAGCUGCGGCAGCGACACUAGGUGUUGUUGGGUAGGGGAGCGUUCUGUAAGCCUGCGAAGGUGGCCUGUGAGGGUUGCUGGAGGUAUCAGAAGUGCGAAUGCUGACAUAAGUAACGAUAAUGCGGGUGAAAAGCCCGCACGCCGGAAGACCAAGGGUUCCUGUCCAACGUUAAUCGGGGCAGGGUGAGUCGACCCCUAAGGCGAGGCCGAAAGGCGUAGUCGAUGGGAAACAGGUUAAUAUUCCUGUACUUGGUGUUACUGCGAAGGGGGGACGGAGAAGGCUAUGUUAGCCGGGCGACGGUUGUCCCGGUUUAAGCAUGUAGGCGGAGGUUCCAGGUAAAUCCGGUACCUUUUAACGCUGAGGUGUGAUGACGAGGCACUACGGUGCUGAAGUAACAAAUGCCCUGCUUCCAGGAAAAGCCUCUAAGCAUCAGGUAACAUUGAAUCGUACCCCAAACCGACACAGGUGGUCAGGUAGAGAAUACCAAGGCGCUUGAGAGAACUCGGGUGAAGGAACUAGGCAAAAUGGUGCCGUAACUUCGGGAGAAGGCACGCUGAUAUGUAGGUGAAG